rnacentral:tRNA from 1 species
GAAGGUAGAGCUCAGUGGUAGAGUGUGUGCUUAGCAUGCAUGAAGUCCUGGGUUCAAUCCCCAGUACCUCUA